UACGUAGGGUCCGAGCGUUGUCCGGAAUUAUUGGGCGUAAAGGGCUCGUAGGCGGUCUGUUGCGUCGGGAGUGAAAACUUACAGCUUAACUGUGAGCGUGCUUUCGAUACGGGCAGUCUUGAGGCAUUCAGGGGAGAACGGAAUUCCUGGUGUAGCGGUGAAAUGCGCAGAUAUCAGGAGGAACACCGGUGGCGAAGGCGGUUCUCUGGGCCGAUACUGACGCUGAGGAGCGAAAGCGUGGGGAGCGAACAGG
rnacentral:rRNA from 1 species